rnacentral:rRNA from 1 species
GACGAACGCUGGCGGCGUGCUUAACACAUGCAAGUCGAACGGAAAGGCCCUGCUUUUGUGGGGUGCUCGAGUGGCGAACGGGUGAGUAACACGUGAGUAACCUGCCCUUGACUUUGGGAUAACUUCAGGAAACUGGGGCUAAUACCGGAUAGGAGCUCCUGCGGCAUGGUGGGGGUUGGAAAGUUUCGGCGGUGGGGGAUGGACUCGCGGCUUAUCAGCUUGUUGGUGGGGUAGUGGCUUACCAAGGCUUUGACGGGUAGCCGGCCUGUGAGGGUGACCGGCCACAUUGGGACUGAGAUACGGCCCAGACUCCUACGGGAGGCAGCAGUGGGGAAUAUUGCACAAUGGGCGGAAGCCUGAUGCAGCAACGCCGCGUGCGGGAUGACGGCCUUCGGGUUGUAAACCGCUUUCGCCUGUGACGAAGCGUGAGUGACGGUAAUGGGUAAAGAAGCACCGGCUAACUACGUG